UACGAUAGACACGAAGUUCUAUCAGUAAAUCUUUCGCUUUAGCUUUUUUUUAAAUAUUAUUUUAUUUAAACCCUAAAUCAUUUGUGCAUAUUAAAAAAUGCUUCAUUUAUAGAUUGUACAAUAAAUAUUAAUUAUAAAUAAAAAAAAAAAAAAAUUAGUUGUUGUGAUUAUGUAAUCAAAGAGUUAUGUAGACAUUUUUCAAUCAGGUUCAGAACAAACCUCUAUAUAAUAACUCUCCUUAUUGGAACACACAAAACGCACUUGAUGGUUAACUUGAGUGCAGGUAUAUGACUUAGAAACAUAGUAGGAUUAGAGAAAUAUAGUGGUAUGGGUGACAAGUUGAACAAAAGUCAACAAAUAGCAGCCUAUGGACAAAUAUUAUCUGGCCAGCAGACAAUAAAUGUGGUUUUUCUUUUGCAUUUACUUUCU